rnacentral:ncRNA from 1 species
CGGUAGAACAUGCGUGAUGGGGAUGAAAAGGGAAGUUGGGUGAGAAUCCCACGCAAUCCCGUUGCUGUAUACGCGGAGCGGUCUCCUUUGAUAUGCCACUGGCGAUUUGCUGGGAAGGCAGGAGGCUGUGUUGAGGCAAAGCCAGAAGACCUGCCUGGUUCGGAU